rnacentral:lncRNA from 1 species
UUUUUUUUUUUUUUUUUUUUUUUUGAGACAGGGUUUCUCUGUGUAGCUCUGGCUGUCCUGGAACUCUGUAGACCAGGCUGGCCUCGAACUCAGAAAUCUGCCUGCCUCUGCCUCCUGAGUGCUAGGAUUAAAGGCGUGUGCCACCACGUCUGGCUCAUUUGCAGCACUUUAAAAAUUAGAGAAUAAAAGUUUACAUAGCUCUCUAGAAGACCUCGAGGGCAGUAAUGAUACAACCCCAAGCCAGCUGCUAGCCAGCAGCUCUCAUACGCUAUUGCCAUCAGUAUUUAUGUAUCUUAUGAUACAGUCUAAUUUCACUCACUGUUAGGACCAGGGUCUAUGUCCUAACGUAAGGAAUAAUACUUCUGUAAUGUGAUUGUUCUGUAAUGUGAUCUCUAAAGAGUCGAUUCAUCAAACCUUUCAUUCAUUUUAAGCAAACUUAUUUUGGAAGAAAUUGAUUUUUGAGUAAGAUAUGCAAGCAGUAUUUGCAAAUCUAAAGGAACACUUUAUUUGAAUAAGCUAGUUUGUUACUCAUGCUAAGCAUCGAACCAGGGCUUUUUGCUGCAAGGGUAAGUGCUUAGCGAUCAGCAUUCCACCCCGGAUGGUUUCUUAGUGCCUAUUGUAAUGUGCAGCACAUCCAACUCAAUGAAUACAAGGCUGCCUUGGUUGUGGGAAAGGUUUGGGUUUUUGUUGUUUUUUGUUUUUCUUCAAAAAUUAGCUAACAUUUUGUUUACAGUGCUUUGACUAUUUUAUUUGGAAAACAAAGUAUUAUGUUUACUGAAUUAUGAAGUGUUUGUGUCUACAUUCAUUUGAUUUAAGGCAGGGUGUUAGCCUUCCCAUGGCAUUUUCAAGUGAAAAGGAUGGGUACUACUGAAAAGAUGUAUACGGCCGUGAACACAAGCUUUGAAACACAUGAACCUGUAAUUAGUAAUUUAAGUAUAGUGAAUGAAUGACGUGGUUUAGUUAUAGGUAAGGAGGCUGAGGAUUUCUACCGAGCUGAUGUGGCUUGGCUCCAGAAUGCAUAUAGAAUGUUUAGUUGAGUGUAACCCAUCAGUUACUUAAAGGACAAGGGUUGCCUGUUCACAUUUGUGCCAUUCAAGGUGCCACAGGAAAUGCAUUUGUACCAAAUUAUUUGUUUUCUUUAAGAAUGCCUUGUCAAAGGUUCAGAAUGAAAAAUAGUCUUAUUGUGGCUGUACUAGCACAGUGGAAGCAGAGCUCCUUAAAUAAGAAAAUCAUCAAUAAAGCCUGAAAUACAGAGCUCAGAGCAUAAUUUCAAAAGUAUAAAAGGGGGCCAAACAGAAAGAAUUCUUUUCCUGGCAUAUGAAAAUGUGUUCUUAGUGCUGCUUCCAGAAUGUUCUUUGUCGUUUGCCAGCAAGUUUCCAAGGUCAAUGCACUGCUGCUCUCUGGGAGAUGUCUGACUUCAUUUUAUACAACUCAUGAUUUUGCCUUUGUUAUUAAGAUGCAUUCAUUUUAUUUAUGACAUGUGACUUUUUCAAUAUCUGAAUGUAUGAAGUGACUUGUUUUAAAGGAAUAAAUGAAGUGAAA